rnacentral:lncRNA from 1 species
CUUUGUUUAGCAAAUUCCUUCACAGAAAGACAGGGAGGGAGUCUGGGAAGGCAGGAUAAUGGUGUGGGAAGAUGCUGGAAUCUGAGAAGGAGCUGAGAUUGUUGGUUGAACAUAUUGCUGUCUGUGUGGAAAAUGUUCACAGCAGUUACAACUUUGGAUGAAUAUGCAUUAGCGGCGGUGCUGCAAUUUGCUCGCGUGUGCCACGCUACACUUGGAGACUUGGCAAGAUGGGUGCAGCCUCGUGACAGUUGUCUGGAGAAGUUUCUUGGAAAUUUAUGAGACUUUCAAAAAACAAACUGCUCGGAGCCGAGCCGACCUGCUGGAGCCUGGGAGAAUCAGAGUCAGCCCUCUCCUGGAGCACAAGACAGUGUGGCAGUUGCUGCUUCUCCCAGACUGAGUGGCUCCUGCUAGGGGGGCCCGCUGGGGGUGCCGACCUUCCAGAGCUGUCCCAGGGCAGCGGGAAGCAGGUGUCUCCCAAGGGCAAGCUCUCCUUGUAGGGAGGAGGGAAGUCAGGGACUGGAAUUAGAAUAACAAUGGGUUCUUCUUUCUACUUUGUUUCCCCCUGGAUUUCUGUAUUUGGGUAGUUUUUUUUCCCCUCAGUCCCAUGGAACUCUCUGUAAAGGAAUUGAUUAAACAAGCU